rnacentral:rRNA from 1 species
CUACGGGUGGCAGCAGUGGGGAAUAUUGCACAAUGAGCGAAAGCUUGAUGCAGCCAUACCGCGUGUGUGAAGAAGGCCCGAGGGUUGUGAAGCACUUUCAAUUGUGAGGAAGGUUCAGUAGUUAAUACCUGCUGUUCUUGACGUUAACUUUAGAAGAAGCACCGGCUAACUCUGUGCCAGCAGCCGCGGUAAUACAGAGGGUGCAAGCGUUAUUCGGAAUUACUGGGCGUAAAGCGCGCGUAGGCGGACUAUUAAGUCAGUUGUGAAAGCGCUGGGCUCAACCUGGGAACUGCAUCUGAUACUGGUAGUCUAGAGUUUAAGAGAGGGGAGUGGAAUUCCAGGUGUAGCAGUGAAAUGCGUAGAUAUCUGGAGGAACAUCAGUGGCGAAGGCGACUUCCUGGCUUAAAACUGACGCUGAGGUGCGAAAGCGUGGGUAGCGAACGGGAUUAGAUACCCCUGUAGUC